AUUGAACGCUGGCGGCAGGCCUAACACAUGCCAGUCGAGCGGAUGAAGGGAGCUUGCUCCUGGAUUCAGCGGCGGACGGGUGAGUAAUGCCUAGGAAUCUGCCUGGUAGUGGGGGAUAACGUCCGGAAACGGGCGCUAAUACCGCAUACGUCCUGAGGGAGAAAGUGGGGGAUCUUCGGACCUCACGCUAUCAGAUGAGCCUAGGUCGGAUUAGCUAGUUGGUGGGGUAAAGGCCUACCAAGGCGACGAUCCGUAACUGGUCUGAGAGGAUGAUCAGUCACACUGGAACUGAGACACGGUCCAGACUCCUACGGGAGGCAGCAGUGGGGAAUAUUGGACAAUGGGCGAAAGCCUGAUCCAGCCCUGCCGCGUGUGUGAAGAAGGUCUUCGGAUUGUAAAGCACUUUAAGUUGGGAGGAAGGGCAGUAAGUUAAUACCUUGCUGUUUUGACGUUACCAACAGAAUAAGCACCGGCUAACUUCGUG
rnacentral:rRNA from 1 species